GGAGCGCGCUUUCUGCCUGAUGCUGUCACUAUAACCCGCGUCACUGGAAGAAUAUUUGACAAGAGUUAUGAUCAAAUUGGACCUGACAUCUCCACAGGAAUAGACCUAAACAGUGAUAUUUUUCAUCCAGUGUAUAACUACAACGUUCAGAUCAGAGCAUCAAACAUUCCGCCUACAGCUACUCUGCUACUGAAGAUUUAUACCAUAGACAGAUUUACACAACAGCCGGCAUUAGUAGGAUGGGCAGCUCUCAAUCUGUUUGUUCAAUCUGGAACCCAGAAGGCACCAACAUCA